AUAAAGUACACACAAAGUUUAAACUGGUUAUGACAAAGCUUAUAGUUGUAUUUCUUGAACUAUAAAGAAAACAAAUUUUGGCAGUCUUUAUAUAUAGCUUAAAAUAUAAUUUUUAGCAUUUGGUACCAUAUGUAUGUCAUUAUAUUUGAUUUUGCAUUACUGUUUCACAAUGAAGCUUUGUUUAAGGCUUUGAUUUUUAUGAUUAUGAAAGAAAUAAGACACAACCACAGUUUUUCUUUCUUACUUAAAUUUUAUCAUUGUUGAUGUGGUUCUUUUGUGUUAAAAAAGUGCAACUAUGGAAACUAAAAAAAAUAUAAAUUAAUAUUGCUGUUCUGCUGAUUUUACAUAAAAGUACAUCAUAAUACUUUACAAGCAAGUUAAAUGGAGAUGCAAAUGACCUUUCAAAAUCAACACAAUGUGUUCUGAAACUUCAUAAUUAAUACCAUGCAUCUAUGAUCAAUGAACUAUGUGGUUUUUGAAUCAGAUGUAGACCAUUAGUAUACUAC
rnacentral:lncRNA from 1 species